rnacentral:lncRNA from 10 species
CAUCGUUAGGUGAUGCAUGACUCUACUCUGACAUCCUCUCCAGCUUUCAUCUGUUUUUAUUUUUAUGAUGUGCUGAAGACAGGACAUUGUAUCUGCUCUAGUAAGUCAGGCAUCAGUAUGCUCUUGUAAAUGUCCAGGUAAUUCCAAUGAGUGGCCAAGUCUGUGGACCAUUAUAACACCCAUCCUGGGCAUCCACACUUAGGGAGGCAUGCGGGCUUGUUUUGGGGCUGCAGACCAAGCCCCCACCCCUUAGUGCUCAGCUGAAAGAGGUCUGCUGGCAGAGAACCCAGCAAGGGCAGGCCUGGGAGUCUGAUACCACCUGCCCAGCCUGGCUUUGCCAUCUGCUCG